UUUAUAUCUUGGCAAAUGGCUCUAUUGUUUCAUUUUUCUCUUCAUUACAGAGAUUCUGGAGUUGGCAAUGUCUAUAAUCCCAAUUAUGUUGAAUUCCUAGGGAGUUCCUGAGUUGUGAUUUGCCUGACAUCAUGUGAAAUGGGUGCAUUUUUCUUAGAGUUCAUAAUGCUAAUUUGACUCUCAAAAGGAUACAUAAUCCUGAAAGGACUGAGGACUGUUCAUCUAAAUCAGGAGAGUGUCUCUACUCUAGGGGAUGUGCAUGAUAAUUCAGUGAAGAAAGCGCACCCAAUCCAGUUUUUAGUGCCUCUUUAGAGGAAUGGAUCAUCAGAUUUUGGGGGAAAAUCUCCAAAUAUGAGAAAGAGAGAGAGAAAUAAGCAGAGACAACAGACAAACAGACCUGUAGCAUUAAUAUCUUCAGACAGUGACACUUGAAGGGCCUGCUACCAAUGGCUGAAAAACCUCAACAUGGUUUCCUUGGCAAUCCCUAGAAUGAGGAAAUGAAAGGAAAGUUCACCAAUUAAAGAACGAAAACCCAUAACCCCUCAUGCUCCCCUUUGAUUCCCACCAAAUUAGAGGAAGCUGUAUGGAGGGAAUAAGCCAACCCAGGUCUUAGAGAAGAAUAUCUGGCCUCCUCCCUUCACACAAUCUAUGGGCAGCUACCACAACAUCAUUACCUCAUGGUCGGAUUGGUAUGAGAUAUA